rnacentral:rRNA from 1 species
UACGUAGGGGGCAAGCGUUGUCCGGAUUUAUUGGGCGUAAAGAGCGUGUAGGCGGCCUGAAAGGUCAGCUGUGAAACUCGAGGCUCAACCUCGAGACGUCGGUUGAAACCAUCUGGCUAGAGUCCGGAAGAGGAGUGUGGAAUUCCCGGUGUAGCGGUGAAAUGCGCAGAUAUCGGGAGGAACACCUGUGGCGAAAGCGGCUCACUGGACCGCAACUGACGCUGAGGCGCGAAAGCUAGGGGAGCAAACAGG